rnacentral:rRNA from 1 species
CAAUAGCGUAUAUUAAAGUUGUUGCGGUUAAAAAGCUCGUAGUUGGAUUUCUGUUGAGGAUGGGCGGUCCGCACAUCGUGCGUGUAUCUGUUACAGCCUCGGCAUCCUCUUGAAGAACGAACUGUGAUUUAUUUCGUGGUUCGGAAUUCAAGACUUUUACUUUGAGGAAAUUAGAGUGUUCACGGCAAGCAAUCGCUUUGAAUACAUUAGCAUGGAAUAAUAAUAUAGGACCUUGGUACUAUUUUGUUGGUUUCUAGAACUAAGGUAAUAGAUUAAUUAGGGAGUAAUUAGGGGGCGGAUUCGUUAUUAACGCGUCAGAGGUGGAAUUCUUGGAUUGCGUUACGACGAACUACUGCGAAAGCAUUUGCCAAGGAUGUUUUCAUUGAUCAAGAACGAAAGUAUGGGAGUCGAAG